UGUUUUGUCUUUGGAGUGGAAUUUUUAACUUUGUAACUUUUCUUUUCUAACCCUAAAUCCUAUUACACAUCAGUGAGAGGGUUGUUUGAUGCCGUCGCCACGUUUUAGAUGAAAAGAGGAAGCUGAUCAUAUGUGACAGUCUUCUGUUUUUAAAGAGAAAACUGCUGCUUGUUUUUCCAAAGUCUCGGGAAAUUACCGUUAAGAUAUUUCGUAGUUGAUUCUCUACAUUUUGUCAGUGUCAUAGUUUUCUGCUCCUUUUUUUAUUUUCAUGGAUCUACACCCUGAAUUUACACACUAAGUUCACACUGCUGCAUGAAGCCAGUCCGUCACCAAACUGUCUCUGAUGUGAUGGUAAUGCUGAACAGAUUUGGACCUGCAGGUCUGUUUCUGCACAUCAAACAUCACAUUCACUCCUUAUCCUCCAUCUCAUCACUCACUUCUGUUGCUGUUUGUUCUGCAGAGGAAAUCUAAUCAGCUGAUUGUUUAGCUGCAGAGCAGCUGGUGUUUAUAGACUGAAAAUAAACUUGUGAUUCUGUUUUCCUUCUGAACCCUUCAUCCAAUCAACUUGAUGCCACACUCUUGAUUGGGUCACUAUUUUGCUCAAUGGCAUUUUAGUAGGGAUCAGGCAACUGACUUUAACCCGGCAGACAUGAGUGUGUUGGCUCCUCCUCCUCCUGCACCUCCUCUGUGGUCCUGCAGACUUCAGCUUCAGUUUUACUGAGGAGCUCUGACCGAACACAUCAGACAAACUGACCAGAUCACUGUUGCUGUGAUGAUGGUGAGGAUUUUGAGGAUGAUGGGAAAUGUGUCGACUAUGACUCGUCCAAAAGAAAUCCUGAAGGAGAUGAAGAGGACAAUCUACAGUAAACCUCCUCGAAACAGAAUUGGAGCAGUGCAAAGCUUCUUCGUCAUGUCAGUGUUUGCAGUAGCCAUGUUGGCUCCUGCUGCCUGGAUCCUCGGUCACCUGCCAGAAUAUCGGCAGAGGGCCCAACAGAGUCCAAAGACCUGAUCCUCAUCAGAGUCCAAAGACGUGACCCUUAUCUUCAUCAUUGCCAUCAUCAACACUCCAGAGGCCUAGAAGCUACAUUUCUUUUUCCUUUUAUUCUUCACCUCAUAUUAAAACUGAGUCAAUAAAUUCAGUUUUCUUUUUGGAAAUCAGUCUAAGUGCUUUUAUAUUGAACAGAAUAUUUUAAAAAAUAAACUUUGUGUUCAAUGUCUUA